GUGCCUAACACAUGCAAGUCGAGCGAGAAAAGGGGGGCAACUCCCUGAGUAAAGCGGCGCACGGGUGAGUAACACGUGGGUAAUCUGCCCUGGAGUGGGGAAUAACACCGGGAAACCGGUGCUAAUACCGCAUACGAUCACAAGGUCUGCGGAUUUUGUGAUGAAAGGAGCAAUUCGCUCUAGGAGGAGCCCGCGGCUGAUUAGCUAGUUGGUGAGGUAAUGGCUCACCAAGGCUACGAUCAGUAUCCGGUCUGAGAGGACGGUCGGACACACUGGAACUGAGACACGGUCCAGACUCCUACGGGAGGCAGCAGUGGGGAAUUUUUGGCAAUGGGGGCAACCCUGACCAAGCAACGCCGCGUGG
rnacentral:rRNA from 1 species